UGCACGCUUAAAACAAAACUUCGAUCGAGACAAUUAAUCCUAAGCAAUUAACUAAGUUGUCCGGCAUGUCAUUGGUCCCUCGACGCUUCGUCCGAUUCUUCGGCGCAUCGUCCUCUCCUGCGGCCUAUUGCCCAAUCGGCUAGUUGACUCUGCAACUCCGAUAUCCUUGGCGCAAUACCCGCUCUUCUUGGCCCGAUGCCCAAGUCCACGGCCCAAAGCCUUUUGUCGAUACGUC
rnacentral:lncRNA from 1 species